rnacentral:tRNA from 1 species
AGGGUGUUAGUUUAAGUGGUAAAAUAUUAAGCUUCUAACUUGAUUUUGGGCUUUAAGCCCACACCUUU